AUCCAAGGUGAUUCCCUCUCCAAGGGGCCUGCUUGUGCCCCUCUUCUGGAAAGUAGCAGCUUGGAAUAACAUCUGGCAGGCCUGAGGCUCUGGCGGCGAGGGGCUGUAAACAUCCUCUGCCUGCCUUGGGCUGCCCACACAC
rnacentral:snoRNA from 9 species